GGAAAUCUCACCAGGCCCGGACACUGGAAGGAUUGACAGAUUGAUAGCUCUUUCUUGAUUCAGUGGGUGGUGGUGCAUCGCCGUUCUUAGUUGGUUGAGUGAUUUGUCUGGUUAAUUCCGUUAACGAACGAGACCUUAACCUGCUAAAUAGUGACGCGGUUCAUCGAACCGUGGGCCACUUCUUAGAGGGACUAUCGGAUUCAAACCGAUGGAAGUGUGAGGCAAUAA
rnacentral:rRNA from 1 species